ACAUGGCGGGUGCUGUCAUGCCACUCCUCUCCCAGGCCUGGGCACUGAGGGCGGGGCCCUGUGUCUGUGACCCUGACCCCUGUGUCACAGUGCAGAGUGACACCAGGAACCUACGUUGUCUGGCAUCCUAGGCCAGAGGCGGCUUCCGUAAGGCUGGGCCCUUUACUCCCUUCCACCCUGUGGAAUCCUGCCCGGUCGCUUCUUUGGAAAGAUUCCAUGAGAGGAAUCCAAACCAUAAGCGAAGGAGGAAGGAGGCACACUGCCCCUGCCCUGAGAGCUGGGGAGGCAGAGGGAGCCCACGCCCAGGACUGACAAGGAGGCAGAGGCAGAUAAUCCAGCCUGGCAGCUCGAGACCUGAGGCCAGUUACUGUGAGCUCAAUGGGAAGACUGACUAACCAGAAACCCAGAUCAUCGGGAAACCUGGAAACCCGCCACUAACAGUCACAGAGCUCUGGGAUUUAGGAAGGCAUGAGACUGUGGUGAGGAGGAUGGCAGCUGCGAAAUCCAGGAGCUACCGGCUUCUUUGAUCCCCAGGGACAGGUCCCUGUGGACCCCCAAGUGCCAAAGCUCCUCUUGGAUGUCUUUGCCAGCUAACAUUUUCCAGAGCUGGCGCCUGUGGGGGAAGGAAAUCAGAGCUUCCCACCUCACACAUCUUUUUCCCAUUUUGUUUGCUCUGCCCAGGGAAAGCCAUUAGGGCUAGGUCAGUCUGGGCCUCCCCCACCCGCCCAUCUCUCCAGCCCUGCUAUAAGGAGGGAUGGGGGUGGGGGUGGGGGUCAUUGGAAGGACAAGGCCCUAGCCUGGCUAAGGGGCCAGACUCUGAACUCUUGUACCCCUUCUUAAUUCCCUGCCCGCUCUAGAUGGGAGAGUGGGGGCAGGGACCAGGAAUCUGGGCUCCCAGGGCCCUCCCUUACUCUGCUCAAAUCCCCCUGCACCUCUGAUUCUGUCUCCAGGAAGUCUGUUCCACUGGCCCCAAGGAAAGCUGAGCCUGGUCUGGUCUGCAGCCGGAAGGGCCCUGGGGUUGGGAAGCUGGUCCUUAUUACCCAACUCCUAGGGCUCCAGCCUGCUCCCUGGAGUCACUAGCACAGCAGGUUUCCAUAGGCCCCUAGGAGCCAGGCUGGGGCCAAACUACUGGGUCCCACUGUCUAGAGACAGUAGCUGCAUUUGGGGGCUGGAGAGAGGAGGGAAAUGAGAACACUAAGGAGCCUCGAGGAGGCACUGUCCCCAGGGUGGCUGACCUCCUUCCUGAGGUUGACCCAUCAGUCCUUACCCUGCCCCCUCAGGGACAGCAAGUCCAAUAUACUCUUUCUGUCCCCAUCCAGGACCUCAAAGCCCAGACCUGGGCCCCCUCAGUCUCUUCUCUGGGACCUCGCCUUCUCCCCUCCUUUCUGCCUCUUUCUUCUUCAAUCCCAGAGUCUGGUUGUCUGGCCCAGUGCCCACCUUCUGCAGUUCAGGCCAGAGGAGGAACAUAGCACCACCCAGUCUGCAGCCUUGCUGAUUUCUUUCUUCUUCCAGAAACUCCAGAUCAUCUCAAUGGGCAGAGGGAUUCUCCAGGCCCCUAGCUCUGCUUCUAUUUCCCAUCCUCAAUAGGUGGGAGAGGAGGCAUCUGGGAGAUGACUUGGGCUCCCCAGAACCUGUCUUGGGCUAGACUGCAGGCUGUUCAUCUUUUCCAGGGCUAGCCACUGUCCCCAGGCACCAUGCAAACCCAGCUAUUCAGCCUGCCAAACUUGUCACAGCUACAGCCUUCCUUUCCUGCUGUGGGCUGCCAGGGGUUAAGGGGCCAGAGCAGGGCAGGGGUCAGGAAUGGCAGAGGGGUCUGGCCCUAGUCACUGGAUCAUAAAAGCCAAGAGGAGUUUAACUGUGGGUCAUGGUGCUGACUGACUUCUCCAUCCAUAAUGCUGCCCUGGGGGCUUCCUUUGGGAGGGGGAAAAGGGGGCCACAGCAGGCCAGGGUCAGGCCCAGGCCCGUCCUGCUUCACAUGUUGGCUGCUGCCCCCAACAGUCCUGGUCACACGGGAUCCUCCCCUCAACCUGGAGGUUCUCCGAGAAGCAGGGCAGUUCCAGAGGAAGACGAGCUGAACUUUGGUGCCUUUCAAAGAGAGAAAACCGAGCAGCAUCCUGAGUGGGGAAAGAGAUGACCUGCCAUGCCAAGAAGCACCAGUCUGGGAGGUGGAGCCAGAGCAGAGGGUCAGAGGAGCAAAGACCCAAGGCUCAGAGAACAAGAUCAGUGUGCUGGCUGCCAGCCCCUGUGUGGGGUCUCCAGGCUCUUCGAUGGCUGCCCACCCUCUGUGUGGCUCCCCUGAAGAGGCAAGCAGAACCAGGGGCCUCUCUCGGGUGACAGAGAUUCAGUUCCGACACGUCCUCAGCCAGUGCAUCCCCACCUCCUUCCUUUCCCCUCCCUUGGCUCAGCACAGCCGCCCGCCCGGCCCAGCCCCGAGGAGAGCGUCGGCAGUGGGAGCUGGGAACCAGGUAGCAGAGCCAAAAAUAACACAGGAGCCGCCUGGCUGCCUGGGUGCUGCGCACAUCCUCUCCCGGUCUAACUGUAAUCCCUCCUUUACAGUCAGCCCCCUCCUCCCACCCUACGGUUCUGACCCUCCUGGGCCACACCUGCCUCCUUUUGCCAGGGCCGAGGUAGCCCUGGAGGUCACGGUCACCCCUCCCUUUGAGUCCAGCUGCCCUUUUCCCCAGGUCACUCAGGAUUCUCUGCCCACACCUUCCCUAGUUCUCAGGGUCUCUCCCCUGCGCCUAACUAUUCCUGGGAAGUGAGUCACCCCCUUUCUAGAUCUCUAACCCUGUCUCCCAGCUUGCACUUCAACUUGCUGGAAGCUCUUUUUUUGGUCUAACUCCCAUCCAUCCUGCUGCAAUGGCAAUUUUAGUUGUGGAGAAUCAGAGUGGGGCCUUAAGGGAUUUGAAAAGGGCUGGGUCCCUGAACCCAGGGUGACAGACGACAAUGGAACAUUCUCCUCUGUACUGAGGAUCAGGACAGACUAGGAGGCAGGAUCCUUGAGUUUACACUCCGUGUUGAGUAGAAUACUGAGGGCUCAGGGAGGCAGGGGACACAACUGUCUGGCCCCAGCCGCUCUCAACUCCUUUCUUCUACUCUCAGACCUCUUCACCCUCUGUAGAAGUCCUGCCUUCUUUGCUGCCCCUACACUGAGUGGCAGAGACCCAGGUGUCCAGCCCCACCUGGGUUUAAUUUCUACAUGACUCCCAGCCAACAAACUCUCUGACCCAGCAGAUGCAAUAACACUGCUCAGGGUGAGGCUCUCCUGCAAGUGCUGGAUUUGGCCAGAGAAUCUCCUUGGUCCCGGCUGGGGGUGAGGGCCGGGGGUUCACGAUUCUCCCACUCUACCCAUCCCCAUUGGCUGGGGUGGGUGGUCCCUCCUCCCCCACUCAGCCUCGAGAGUGAUGGAAAGGGAGUGAUGGAGAGGGCUGAAGGCAUCUUCUUUCCCAAGCCCCCAGACCCCUGAACCGUGCACACAUCCACCCCACUUACACUCCUCCAACCGUCCAGAAGCCUACCCAUCUCCAUUCCUUCUGCUGCAAAACCAGCCACUUUCCUCUUAGCCACACUGCAAUGGGAACAAAGCCCCAGAAUGUUCUUUUCCUAACUCUCUCAAGCCUGUUUCCUCCCCACCCCACCCCACCCCCAUCUUGCCACUGCUCCCCCAGCUUUUCUCACCAGCUUUGCACCCUCCCCCCACUAGAGUCUCCAAAUUCCUGGGGGAGCCCCAGGAGGGGCGUGACCAAGGUUCUUAGAGAGAACAGUUGCCCCCGGCAGAUCUGCAGCAGAUUUGGUCAUAAUUAAAAGGCAAGGGACACUGGGAAAUUCCUUCUUAUUGAUCCCGGCGGGAAAUUAAAGCCAGUUGUUUGUGAGUGAGUGACUGAUGCUGGCUAAGCUCCUCCCUGUUGGUUGCCUGGUUCCAGGACCCUAGCCCCUUGCCCCUAGACUCCCCCAUCCUCCUCUGUUAGCCCCCAUUCCCCAUCCCCCCAGACCUCCAUCCCAUACUCCCCCCCAUCCC